CUGGGAUUCUCCAGACAAGAACACUGGAGCGGGUUGCCAUUUCCUUCUCCAAUGCAUGAAAAUGCAAUGUGAAAGGGAAGUCGCUCAGUCGUUUCUGACUCUUAGCGGCUCCAUGGACUGCAGCCUACCAGGCUCCUCUGUCCGUGGGAUUUUCCAGGUUCUGGGUCCAUCCUACAAGGAGCUACCCACAUCCCGUCUGUUUCUGACACUUGUCCAAAUCCCGGAGUCAGCCGUCUUUCCCAGGAGCUCUUCUUCUGAAGAGUGGGAUUAGAAGUCGGAAGUCUCACCUGGAUCUCGCUGGACUGAAAGUAAGGUGAC
ensembl:lncRNA